rnacentral:rRNA from 2 species
GAUUUCUGGCCUGAAACCUCUUGCCGGCCACGGUUUCGUGUGUUAGUGCUUGAUGUUCGCGCCAUCCUUCCAAUCGCCUGCGCCCGCUCUUCAUUGGGUGGGCGCCGGUAUUGGAUCUUUUACUUUGAAAAAAUUAGAGUGUUUCAAGCAGGCUUUAUGCUAUGAAUACAUUAGCAUGGAAUAAUAAUUUAGGACUUCGGUUCUAUUUUGUUGGUUUCUAGGACUGAAGUAAUGAUUGAUAGGGAUAGUUGGGGGUGCUAGUAUUCAGCGGCCAGAGGUGAAAUUCUUGGAUUCGCUGAAGACUAACUUAUGCGAAAGCAUU